rnacentral:rRNA from 1 species
UACGUAGGCAGCAAGCGUUGUUCGGAAUUACUGGGCGUAAAGAGUGUGUAGGCGGUGCUCUAAGUUCGGUGUGAAAUCUCCUGGCUCAACUGGGAGGGUGCGCCGGAAACUGGGGUGCUGGAGCGCGGGAGAGGAAAGCGGAAUUCCUGGUGUAGCGGUGAAAUGCGUAGAUAUCAGGAGGAACACCGGCGGUGUAGACGGCUUUCUGGACCGUAGCUGACGCUGAGGUGCGAAAGCGUGGGGAGCAAACAGG